GGGAGAUGAGAGUGAGAGAGCAUGUUGUCUGUCUUAUCUCACUUUGAGGCAGAUUCACAGAGCAGAAAUGCUGAGUAUCCACCACUCGGGUCUGACAGUGCUGAUUGGUGCCCAGACUGUGGUGGCCAUGCACAGGAAACUCACCAAAACCCCACAGAAUAUCUGCCUACUUGCACUGUUUCUACCUAUCAGUACCACUGACCUUGAGACAGCUUUGUGAAGCAUUUACCAAGGCUGUAAAAAUUUGCUUUACAGGGGAAAUCAGCUUGGCAUUUUGUUAGCUCUGAACCCAUACACCGUGAAGGAAAACAUCCGCUCUUUUGAAGGUUUGCAUUUCCCUGAGUCAGGAAUCAUGAACAAGGAAGCCAAGAGGAAAACAGUAGUACAUAGCCCAGCAGAUACAAACAGGGGGAAGAGAGCUUUGCCAAAAAUUAA